GACGAACGCUGGCGGCGUGCUUAACACAUGCAAGUCGAACGAAAAGAGGGAAAGAGCUUGCUCUUUCCGGAAUUGAGUGGCAAACGGGUGAGUAACACGUAAACAACCUGCCUUCAGGAUGGGGACAACAGACGGAACCGACUGCUAAUACCGAAUAAGUUCCAAGAGCCGCAUGGCCCAUGGAAGAAACGGUGGCCUCUACCUGUAAGCUAUCGCCUGAAGAGAGGUUUGAGUCUGAUUAGCUGGGUGGAGGGGUAACGGCCCACCAAGGCGACGAUCCGUAGCCGGUCUGGGAGGAUGAACGGCCACCCUGGGACUGAGACACGGUCCAGACUCCCACGGGAGGCAGCAGUGGGGAAUCUUCCGCCAUGGGCGAAAGCCUGAAGGCGCAACGCCGCGUGGGGGAUGACGGCCUUCGGGUUGUAAAACUCUGUGUUCCGGGACGAAAAGGCAGAGUGCGAAGAACAAACUGCAUUGACGGUACCGGAAAAGCAAGCCACGGCUAACUACGUG
rnacentral:rRNA from 1 species